CAGCCGCCGCGGUAAUACGUAGGUGGCAAGCGUUGUCCGGAAUUAUUGGGCGUAAAGGGCUCGCAGGCGGUUUCUUAAGUCUGAUGUGAAAGCCCCCGGCUCAACCGGGGAGGGUCAUUGGAAACUGGGAAACUUGAGUGCAGAAGAGGAGAGUGGAAUUCCACGUGUAGCGGUGAAAUGCGUAGAGAUGUGGAGGAACACCAGUGGCGAAGGCGACUCUCUGGUCUGUAACUGACGCUGAGGAGCGAAAGCGUGGGGAGCGAACAGGAUUAGAUACCCCGGUAGUCCCUGUUCUCUUAUA
rnacentral:rRNA from 1 species